UACGUAGGGUCCGAGCGUUGUCCGGAAUUACUGGGCGUAAAGAGCUCGUAGGUGGUUUGUCGCGUUGUUCGUGAAAACUCACAGCUCAACUGUGGGCGUGCGGGCGAUACGGGCAGACUGGAGUACUGCAGGGGAGACUGGAAUUCCUGGUGUAGCGGUGGAAUGCGCAGAUAUCGGGAGGAACACCAGUGGCGAAGGCGACUACCUGGCCUGUUCUUGACGCUGAGGCGCGAAAGCUAGGGGAGCAAACGGG
rnacentral:rRNA from 1 species